UUUUUUUUUUUUUUUUUUUUUUACAUUUUUUAGAAAUUUUCCUUGGAAAAAAAAAUCGAGCUUCUUAUCAGAACCUAAAGACAUGAACCUAAAAAGACAGACUAAAAGAAUAGUAGUAGUAGCUAGCACACCGCUCACUGAGUAAUUACUGCUAGGCUGUGCUCCAGGCAUUGUUUCUUUCUUCUGAGACCUCACAAUAGUUGGUGCCAUUUUUCUUUAUAGUUGAGGAAAUGGGUAUAUAUGUGUCCUAGGCCCUAAUGCUAGAAAAUAGAAAAGAUAUGAUUGAAUUCAGACAGUUUGGUUCCAGAGGGAUGAAAAGAUUGUUUUAUAGGAACUACCACCCUACAUAUUGACAGUUUUAAAUAUAUUUUAUAUUCUUCAUCUUAAAACUCCUGAUAUUUUAGAUUUUUAGGUAUGGAAUAUGAGCCUGGUUUUGUUUUAUUGAGUCAGGUUGUCUGUCCCUCAGACUUGCUGUGCAAGUGCUGAGAUUACUGGUGUAUACCACCAUGCUUUUUUUGUUUUUGUUUUCUGAAAUGACAAGGCCUCACCAUAUAGCCCAUACUAGCCUCAAUCCUGAUUCUCCUGCUUCUGUUCCUGAGUGCUAGAAUUACAGAUGUGCACUGCCACACUCUGCUUAAACAGGUUUUUAAGUUUUAAAAUAUACUCCAUAAGCAGGUUCCCAAACAAAUAUAAAGUUUAAAUUAACACCUAGCCAAUACCUGAAAGCUACUACUCAAAUUGACUGCUGUCAGUACUGUUUCCUUAAUAGACUCUAAUCAUUCCUUACCACAAGUAACUACGAUUCUGACUUCUCACAAUGUAACUUGAUUUUGCUUGUAUCUGCUUUAUAGAAAUGUAGUCAACCAACUAAGGAGUAAAUAAAUGUUAAGAAUUGGGAUACAUGAGGGCUGGAGAGACAUGCAACAGUUAAAAGCACUAGCUCUUGCAGAAGACCUGAGUUUCCCCUUACCUACAUGAUGGUUCACACCUCCAUAAUGGCAGUUCCAGGGGUUUCCAGUGCCUUCUGAUCUCUACAGGUAUCAAGCAUGCAUGUACUGCACAUACAGGCAGGCAAAACAUUCAUACAUAAAUGAUUGAUUUAUUUAUUUUAUGUAUAUGAGCACUCUGCUGCAUGUAUACCUGCAUUGCCAGAAGAGAGCAUCAGAUCCCUUUAUAUAUAGAAUGUCAUGAGACACCAUGUGGGUAUUGGGAAUUUGAACUCAGGACCUCUGGCAGAGCAGCAAGUGCUCUUUAACUGCUGAGCCUUCUCUCCAGCCCAGCAAAUCUUAAUGGAAUACAAGAGCAUCUUCUUCAAAGGAGCUGGAGAAAGGACUCAAGAGUAAGAGUACUUGCUGCUCUUGCAGAGGACCCAAGUUUGGAUCCCAACACCCAUAUCCAGCAGCUCAAAACUCCACUUCCAGGGAAUUCCAUCACUCUGGCCACUGUGAACACACACAUAAAUAAAAAUUAAAUUGUCUUUAUACAGAUGGAGUCCUGUUAUCUUUUUGUCUUUGCUGUUAACAUUGUAUAGUAAGUAUUAUGUAUUCCUGUAAUUUUGUUGCUAUGUUAUAUGAAUACAGUAAAAUUUGUUCAUUAUC
rnacentral:lncRNA from 1 species